rnacentral:tRNA from 2 species
GCCCGGGUGGUGAAAUUGGUAGACAUACCAGCUUGAGGGGCUGGCGCCCGCAAGGGUGUGCAAGUUCGAAUCUUGUCCCGGGCA